rnacentral:rRNA from 1 species
GAUGAACGCUAGCGGCAGGCCUAAUACAUGCAAGUCGAGCGGCAAGUUGAGUAGCAAUACUUGACCUAGAGCGGCGCACGGGUGCGUUACGCGUAUGCAACCUACCUUAUACUGUGGGAUAGCCCGGAGAAAUCCGGAUUAAUACCGCAUGGUAUUGAGAGAUGGCAUCAUCACUCAAUUAAAGAUUUAUCGGUAUAAGAUGGGCAUGCGUAGGAUUAGCUAGUUGGUAAGGUAACGGCUUACCAAGGCUACGAUCCUUAGGGGUUCUGAGAGGAAGGUCCCCCACACUGGCACUGAGAUACGGGCCAGACUCCUACGGGAGGCAGCAGUAGGGAAUAUUGGGCAAUGGUCGGAAGACUGACCCAGCCAUGCCGCGUGCAGGAAGACGGCCCUCUGGGUUGUAAACUGCUUUUAUCAGGGAAGAAAAAGGCCAUGCGUGGCAAAUUGCCGGUACCUGAUGAAUAAGCACCGGCUAACUCCGUG